rnacentral:rRNA from 1 species
AUGGCUGAACCAACUGGUCUUGCCGAGGCUUUGGAGAAGCUCGCUAAGAUCCUCGCGGAGUCCAACUCUGGGGCCAUCGUUCCUCGACAGGAAGUGGCUCAAAAGCUUGAAAUGUCGCCCCUGGACAUGAAGCUAGAGGGGGCAACAAAUUAUUUGAGCUGGUCCAGAAGGGCUUUGUGGGCUGUGGAGCAGAAGGAGCUUGAUGGAUAUUUGUUGGGCACCGUUGUAGAACCAAGGGACACGAGUAGUGCAGAGGGCAAGAGGUGGAAGGUCAUCCACUCUGUACUUAUGGUGUGGUUGUUGAACUCCGUGGUGCCCUCCAUUGGACGCUCUGUGGAGGGGCUAUCCUCACCUGCUGAGAUAUGGAAGAUUCUGUCCACUCAAUACUCUGGCAAGGGCAAUGUCAUGCUCAUUGCUCAGAUUGAGGACAAGAUUAGGUUGCUGCGUCAAGAUGAUGGCAUGUCAGUGAUGACAUACGUGGCAGAACUGCAGGCUCUGUGGGCUGACCAGGAUAACUGUGAUCCCUUGGAACUCUAUGAUGCGGCUUCAAUCGAGUCAGGCCAUAAGUGGAUGGCACGCAGGCGUGUGCUGAAAUUUUUGGCUGGCCUCAAAGGUUGCUUUGAUGGCAGGAAGGCUUCCCUGUUGCACCAACCUAGUCUGCCUACCAUUCCUGAGGCUAUUGCAGCGAUGACUCAAGAGGAGGUGCGCCUAUCCCUUGAGCAUGCAGACAUGAAGGUUGUGCCAGCUUCGACAUUUGCAGUCACUGAGCGCAUGGAGUGGGGAGAUCCCACCAAAUGUCAUAUCUGUGGGGAGGUAGGUCACUGGAAGAGAGAAUGUCCAACUCGUGGCAGAGGCAGGGGAUAUAACAGAGGGGAAGCAGGCAGAGGUAGAAGUGCUCGAGGCAGAGGUGGAUACUCAGAGACCUCAUGGAGCCAGGCUUCUAGAGGUAGAGGUGGCUACUCAGGACACUCAGGGGGUCAGAGGGCUCACAUGGCCGUUGCAGGAGACACUGGGACGUCCAAAGGCAAAGAUGUAGAUGAUGUUGCCUAUGGAGACUUUGCUCACUGGGCCUUCACUGAUGAAGGAGCGACAGACGAGCCAGACGGUUGGGACUGGCACCAGGCGUAG